rnacentral:lncRNA from 1 species
AUAGGAAAAAUUGGAUCGUUCAUGAUGUUGACUGAUGAAUGUGAUAAAUUUCCAGGUAAUGGGACAACUUUCAACCUCUGGGUCAAAAACAACAAAAAAAUAACUCACAAAGCACUGAAGAUGGCAGGCUGACAGGCAAAGAGAGCGAGGACCGGCGGACAAGAAUGAUCGGAAAUGACUAAACUUCACGCUCAUCACUCUGCAGACCCGACGUGAUAAACAGAUGUUGAUGAAAUUUAACGAUGGAGAUUGCUAAACGGUGGAACGCUGAUAGUCACAGCAAAGACAGGUGGACCAGAUUGAUCUUAAACGAUCAUUCUUUCGUUGCCACAAUUUGAAUUAUGGCAUACCUGCCUGUUUAGGCUGUCAGAUACAAUUUGCCAUCUUUGGUCAGAUCUUACCACCUGCCUAUAUAUUGCCAUAUGCCUAACAAAAGGAACGCCAUUUAAGUGGCGAAGGACCGAGACGAACCUGAUAGACAAAAACAUCGAGGAUAGAAGCAAACCAAAAACAAUAAACCACCAAGUUAUCUCU